GGGGCGUUAGCUCAGUUGGUUUAGAGCGCUGCCUUGACAGGGCAGAGGUCACUGGUUCGAAUCCAGUACGUCCCA
rnacentral:tRNA from 1 species